UGGGUAUAUAAGGCUCAGCUGACUGUCACUGUAUCAGAUAUUUCCUUCAACGAAACAUCAGACUACUAUUAUCAUGGGCAAGGAGAGGACCAACGUCAACAUGACCGUCGUCGGCUACUACUAGACUCUCAGAUCAGAUGAUGGAGGGCUAGUACAACACGGACACGUCUCGGCUUCUGUACACGGACACGACUUGGACACGGACAACACGAUGCUACGAGAAGAACCCCCGGACUACCCUACACCUGAUUGGCUUUUUAUUAUCACAAAUAAAUAAAUACAUUUUUCGAAAA